AGAGUUUGAUCCUGGCUCAGGACGAACGCUGGCGGCGUGCCUAAUACAUGCAAGUCGAACGCUUCUUUUUCCACCGGAGCUUGCUCCACCGGAAAAAGAGGAGUGGCGAACGGGUGAGUAACACGUGGGUAACCUGCCCAUCAGAAGGGGAUAACACUUGGAAACAGGUGCUAAUACCGUAUAACAAUCGAAACCGCAUGGUUUUGAUUUGAAAGGCGCUUUCGGGUGUCGCUGAUGGAUGGACCCGCGGUGCAUUAGCUAGUUGGUGAGGUAACGGCUCACCAAGGCCACGAUGCAUAGCCGACCUGAGAGGGUGAUCGGCCACAUUGGGACUGAGACACGGCCCAAACUCCUACGGGAGGCAGCAGUAGGGAAUCUUCGGCAAUGGACGAAAGUCUGACCGAGCAACGCCGCGUGAGUGAAGAAGGUUUUCGGAUCGUAAAACUCUGUUGUUAGAGAAGAACAAGGAUGAGAGUAACUGUUCAUCCCUUGACGGUAUCUAACCAGAAAGCCACGGCUAACUACGUGCCAGCAGCCGCGGUAAUACGUAGGUGGCAAGCGUUGUCCGGAUUUAUUGGGCGUAAAGCGAGCGCAGGCGGUUUCUUAAGUCUGAUGUGAAAGCCCCCGGCUCAACCGGGGAGGGUCAUUGGAAACUGGGAGACUUGAGUGCAGAAGAGGAGAGUGGAAUUCCAUGUGUAGCGGUGAAAUGCGUAGAUAUAUGGAGGAACACCAGUGGCGAAGGCGGCUCUCUGGUCUGUAACUGACGCUGAGGCUCGAAAGCGUGGGGAGCAAACAGGAUUAGAUACCCUGGUAGUCCACGCCGUAAACGAUGAGUGCUAAGUGUUGGAGGGUUUCCGCCCUUCAGUGCUGCAGCUAACGCAUUAAGCACUCCGCCUGGGGAGUACGACCGCAAGGUUGAAACUCAAAGGAAUUGACGGGGGCCUGCACAAGCGGUGGAGCAUGUGGUUUAAUUCGAAGCAACGCGAAGAACCUUACCAGGUCUUGACAUCCUUUGACCACUCUAGAGAUAGAGCUUCCCCUUCGGGGGCAAAGUGACAGGUGGUGCAUGGUUGUCGUCAGCUCGUGUCGUGAGAUGUUGGGUUAAGUCCCGCAACGAGCGCAACCCUUAUUGUUAGUUGCCAUCAUUCAGUUGGGCACUCUAGCAAGACUGCCGGUGACAAACCGGAGGAAGGUGGGGAUGACGUCAAAUCAUCAUGCCCCUUAUGACCUGGGCUACACACGUGCUACAAUGGGAAGUACAACGAGUCGCGAAGUCGCGAGGCUAAGCUAAUCUCUUAAAGCUUCUCUCAGUUCGGAUUGCAGGCUGCAACUCGCCUGCAUGAAGCCGGAAUCGCUAGUAAUCGCGGAUCAGCACGCCGCGGUGAAUACGUUCCCGGGCCUUGUACACACCGCCCGUCACACCACGAGAGUUUGUAACACCCGAAGUCGGUGAGGUAACCUUUUGGAGCCAGCCGCCUAAGGUGGGAUAGAUGAUUGGGGUGAAGUCGUAACAAGGUAGCCGUAUCGGAAGGUGCGGCUGGAUCACCU
rnacentral:rRNA from 1 species